rnacentral:lncRNA from 1 species
AGAAAGGAUUUUCCUGUAAGAAACUGGACAAUGCCGAUACCAUCACGAGUGCACAUUUCCACACCUUGGCUAGCGAUCGUGUCUUGGAAAACAGGUGAAAUCCCACUACACUUAAUUACAGGAUUUCUGCUUCGACAAAUAUACAGCAUUCUCUUUUCAGGGCUCGCAAUAUGUUUGCUAUAGUUUGAGUACAACUUGACAAUAGUUUUUGAUGCAAGGAGUGAGGUGGAUGAACUCAGAUUAAAGAAAGCCGACAUUAUUGUAUUGGCAAAAGCAAAGUUAUUAGGAAAAGACAGAAGAUGGUUUCCUUAAAUAGCAGUUUUGAAGUGGAGGAAAAAAUUAAUGGAAGAAGGUAUUUUUUCUAGCCAGCACCUCAACACACUUACCUAACAGUAGUUAGUGCUACAAAAUUGAAAUUAGCCCACCCUACCCUAAGUAUGCAUAUAAUUUACAACAUUUGAAUUUCGACGAAGAUUAGCAUGUAGGAAUCAGUCUAUCAUAGGUAAGUUACACCAACUAUCGUUAGGAGAUAAUUAAUUCUGCUACUAGCUAGGUAAGGUACGUAAUUAGUUGUAAACCUUAACUUCCGGCCACCAGUACUCUGUAUAAGUUAAUUAUAGACGGAGGAAACAAAGGAGAGAAUUUUACGUUAAUUAGUAUGUGUAACUAAGAUUUUUUAGAUUUGGGGCAACAAAAGGAAGAACUUUACACAUUCUUCUAUCAUGUUUUAACAUUCUCCUUUGUUCAAAAUUGGCUUCUGCUCACUUCCGAAAGAAAAAACGAGUUUCAAGAUUAUCAAAAGUAUUUAACCACAAGAACUUAAAAAGAGAAUAACCAACAAUUUUUCAUAUCCAACUACCAACAGUUAUACAGCUUGAUCAGAUCAACAACCCACAAACGCACACUUACUACAAAUUAUAGCAUAGAAUGUCAACUUGUACAAAGAUCAUUCUAACAAUGAUUUUUUAUUUAUUUAUUUUUUAAUUUAAGCUGAAAACUCUCGCAGAUAAAAUCAUAGUGACCGCUGCCCACAAAUAAAUCAAAUCGCAGUCGUCAAACCUUGUGCAACGAGCUCAUCAGGUGAUAUAGUAGUGGUUGUUGGCUC